ACAGAGAUAUGAGGUACACAUACUGGACUUGUUAGAAAACUCUGUAGAUGGCAGUUCCUUAUUAAACAGUGAAAUCUUACAUGUGAAGGACAGGUUGUUACUAAUAGGAAGUAACUCACUGAUCAUUCAUACAGAUUACACAUCGCAAACAUUUCCCUUCAAUGAGUAGAUCAAAAGCUUUGUUAAUGUCCUCAAAUGUUACUUCAUGUGUAAUAAACUCAUCCAGUUGUAGUUCCUGAUGCGAUGAAAAACUAAAAUGUUAAAAAGGGCAUCCAGGUGUGAGUUAAGCGAAAAACAUUUACAGCAUAAAGUUACUGUUAAAUACCUUGUUGAUGUAGCGAUUUAGGAGAAUAGGAAUAUCUGAUUUGGGUUUCAGUCCUCCAAAUAAGACUCCCAUGAGUGAUUUGCCAGUACAAAGGAUACUCGCUGAAGGAAUGCUCACCUGUGACCCUGGCUUGUCCACUCCCAACACGAUUGUUUUUCCCCAACCCUGAAUAGAUUACAUCAAGUAUAACUAUGAUUAUAUGAGAAAAUCUACAGCACUGUGAGCCAACUAGAGCUGUAAGAUAAUACGAUACACACGCACUUAAUAUAUAGAGCAAGCAAGAGAUAAGAGACCUUGCGGCAACAUGCAUAAGCUUCUUGCACCACUGAUGCCAUCCCUACACAUUCAAAGCAAUAAUCUGCACCACCGUCAGUCAUCUCAAUUAUCACCUGCCAUAAGAAACAUAUCCAUUUCCAGAAAUUAACUAUUAAUCUCUAAAACAACUGUGUAUACACUAGAAAAUAACGAAUUAUCCAUGAACUAGGUGCAUAGUUCUAGAGAAAAACCUCGCUCGCAGAUUUAUUCUCAGAAUUUGCAGCAUUAACGAAGUCAGUGAGUCCAAACUUUUUCCCUGUGUUAAUAGGAAAACAAUUUUAUCACCAUCCUUGUGAAAUGUUACAAACAUAUAGCAUUCAGAUGCCUACUCCUCCUAUGUCGGAGGGCAUUUCUACCAUACACUGGCAUGAGUAUAAAGCUCUUCAAUGCCUAAAGUGACUAAAAUCAGAUACUUCUGACAAGAUCCACAUACCAACUUCAAAUUUGUCUUGGUUCACAUCCACACCAAUAAUUCUUGUAGCUCCACAAAGUCUUGCUCCCUCUGCAACCUGGAAAAAUUAGCAUGGCUGUGAGCCUUCUCAUAAUUAAAAAUCUGCAGGAGGAAAAGAAUUAUGAAACAUCUAGACUAAGGUCGAAUGCAUACAGCUAAUCCAAUUGAACCAAGCCCGAAUAUAGCCACAGUUGAUCCUGGUUCUACUUUUGCAGUUCUCCAUGCAGCACCAACCCCUAAAACCAGAUUUGUGAUUAAGAUGGAACGUUGUAAUUUGUAAACACAAUAGAAAUAUGAAUUGCAAUAAACCGUCAAAUCAAAACAAGAAAAGUACCAGAUAACAGUACAGAUUUCAAGUCUACCUGUUGAUACUCCACACCCCAGAAGGCCUGCAGCCUUAGAUAGAGGUAUUCCAGAAUCAAUCUUUGUGACAUGGGCUAUGUCUAUCACUGUAUACUCACUAAAACUAGACACACAUAGGAAAUGGUAUAGAGUCUCGCCGUUGAGGUCAGUGAAUCUGCUUGUCCCAUAUCUUGGCAUAAAAGGUGAGACCUUGAAGGGCAGUUCUGAAGAUGAACACAGGUUGCUCUUUGUUGAUUUGCAAUCUCUACAUUCUCCACACUCUGCCAUGAAUGUUGGGAUGACCGUAUCUCCUUCACUUACCUCAUUGACAUCCUCCCCAACACUCUCCACAACCCUACAAGGCAUAAACAUUGAUCGAAAAGCAUUUCAACUCCAUGACCAAAACAUGUAGGUUUACGCAACCUGACCAGAUACAUCUGAUACUGACUCAGUAUACUUUCAGUGCAUUAAGCCAUUGAGCAAAAGACGAAUGUUUCUCUAAUUUCAGUGAUCAAACUAACAAUGUGUGCUAAUUAAUGUACGCCAAUGAUUAAACUAACAAAGUGGUCUAAUUUGGUUUUGAAAGAUGAAUUAGAGUGACAGUGUUGGAGCUCACCCGAUAGCUUCGUGACCGAGAAUUAUAGGGAAAAUUCCAGGGAAGUCCUGCAACAACAAAACCAAACAAGAUAUGUUAAAACUCAAUCGCUUGUUAAUUGGUCCAAACAAAGUGUCACGUUGUGCUAAAGAGAUAACCUUCAUUUUCCAGAAGACGAUAUCACUGUGGCAGAGGGAAGUAUAUAUAAUUCGAAUGCGCACUUCAUGAGGCAUCGGCGGUGCCACUACGAUCUCUUCGAUCACUAGCGGCUCACCUGGCUUCCGACACACCGCAGCUACAGCCACGUAACAUAAUCAGAUCCACCAUUCAUCAAAAGUCAACGAAUCCAAAACUAACAGAAACAAUUUCAAAGUGAGUAAUAAGAACCCACCUCUGCAUCGAAUAGGCUUCCCUCUACUUCCACUUGACACCUUCUCAGCCAUGGCUUUCAAGAAGACACAGUCCUUGAUUCUUUCAGAGCGUGAAUGGCUAAUAAUAUGAUUAUUCACUGUCUAGUUUGUACGAUAAUAAAGGCAAACAGAAAGAUGUAAAUGUGAGUAGCUGAGACUUCGCUGGCUGGGAUUACUUGAUGACUAAGGGAUGGAGAAUAUAACCUGCCACAGUUUUAUACGAUUGGCAGAAACGGUAGGUGGGUUUGGACUUUGAAAGUGACAGUCUUCAUUUGGGGUUGGCCGUUAGCGGCAUUGCUUAGCUUUGUGCUUGUCUGCUACUUAAUUUGGCUUUCGGCUCCGCGGAGGUUCUUCCGUCCACCAGUUGAGUUUCACCAAGUUCACGUGUCAGCAUCAUAACUUUUCGUUUCAGUCAAGUCCAAAAGUUAACUAACAAUAGUUUUGAAAGAAGAGGUUAUGAUGCUGCCACAUCACCUUGGUGAAAACUCACCUGGUGGACAUGAAGAAUUUCCGUCGUCCGGGACCGUACAUGCUGAUUUGUUGAUAACCACCCGCAGAAUGAUGCACAUGCUUUUGUCUAUUUCUUUCUAAGUGGGUAAUAUGGGCCCUCUUUAGUGAGGACCGGGCCGAAACGCAAGAUCUGUGUAGCCCAAGCCCAACCUAUUUUAAUAUUCCUACAAGUUUUAAUUUUUCAACUGUUAUCUGAACGAUUUUCCGACUCGUCAAACAACUAGCUUCGUUUCCGUCAUAUUUGGUGGGAAAACAAAUUUGGGUUAAACUCUUCAAAAUGGUCUGAACUAUUAGGGGACUGAUAGAAUGAUACUCAAACUUAUAAAUGUAUAAUGUGAUACCUAAACUUAUAUUUUGGUAUCAACAACGGGUGUGCAUCCAAGAUUAUAGAAUAUUCCGUUUGUGUCUUGCAUUUUAGUUUUCUUUUAUCAUUUUAAAAAUUGACGGAGCAUGGUGGGCCUAGAACAAUAAAUUUGUUUAUUUAACAUACUACAAAUAUAUAAAUCUAUCCUCUUUACUCAAAUAUAUAAAUCUAUCAUCUUUACUCAAAGGUAAACAGUUAAUUUUUCAUCAUUGGAGAAUCUAUUGAUACAAGAUUAGAUUAUUUAUCAGAAGUUAGACAGUCUUAUAAAAAGUUACAGAAAAAAGAGAAAAAUUAAGAAAACUAAAAGAAUUUUGAUCUAAGCUUCAUAGAAGUACUAAUUUUUAUUGGGAUAUUAUCUAUCGGAUCUAGAAAAGGAUCUAUCAAGUAGAAGAGGAAGUCAAAAUUCUCAAAGAGACUUUCGUAGAAGAUCAAAAACCCGUUGAUUAUUUGAGCAUCAGUUAGAUCCGCCCUAACUGGUAUCAGAGUCUGCUUUGCUCAAAGGCAGGUAAGAAAAAGGUUUAUGCCACAAAGUUGGCUUCUCUUGACAAACAAAAGAGAAUCAAAACUUAAAAAUUAUCAGUUUUAUUGUACUGCAAAAUGAACUGAUAAGUGGGAAGUGUGUUUUCAUAUAAGGCAUAUUCAAGAAAAUCAAUACUCCAUUGAAUACGUUUGUAGAGUAUUAAAUACUCUCUACGACGAACAUAUUCAUCUCCAUAGAGAAAUCGGAGUAGAAAAGCUUAAUCUAGCAAGUUCAAGCUUACUCGAGUUCCUAGAUCAUUUAUCUAGGUAUAAAAACCUCUGAAAAUGUAACAGAACAACUCGAGAGAUUUAAUCUUAUGAUUAAUCAACUUGAGAAAAUAAAUUCAAAAAUUGCUAGGCUUGAAAUGAUUAUCUCAAAGAAAAGCAAUAUCUGAUAGAUAUUGAAAGGAAACUAGUUCGCACUGAGAAUCUUGCAAACAAUAUUCAUCAGCAAGCAACGGAACUAAUAAAUACUCAAGAAAACUUGAAAAAGCUUUUAUAAACUCUUAUCUCCAAGAUAGGAUGAAGCAAAGAAUAGAUCUAAAAGUAAAAUAGGAAGAUGUUAAAGCUAUUAGUUUUCAUCGUCCUACAAAAAAAGUUGCUGAGAAUGUGGAAACAAAUUAUUCAUCAACAAAAUUAUAAUAUCACUUAUCUCCAAGAGAUAGGUACUGACUUGAAAUUCAAUUUCGAGAGUUACAAAGCAAGAUUUCAAAUCUACAAAAGAUUGUAGAAAAGAUGAAAUAAUGAGAAAGUUAUGAGAAUAUCAAUGAAGAAUCGCUCGUUCAAAAUGUAGCUAGUAAAAUCAUCAUAUAUUCUCCACCCCCACCAAUGAGAGAAAGUAGACUAAGGUUUAGUGAACCAAAACUACUUGAAUGGAAAACAUCUAAAACAUCAAAAUCCAUAACAAAGAGAGAUGUGAAGAUGCUGAGCAGAAUCCAAUUAUACAAAAAGACUAACAAAAAGACUUGAUCCCCACCAUAACCAUAUACUGCAACAGUUGGAGUGUGGAACCAACCAUGCUUCUUUGCCAUUCUUAGAUGAAUCAGAAUACUUUACAGUAACGAAAUCCCCGAGGCUAUUAACUGAGCUUAGCAUCUCAUUUCUAGACAGGGAGGAUCAUUCCAAUUAUACAAGAUUAAUCAGAAACCUAAAACCCAAUAAGCUCACCGUCACAGGCUUCACGUUUGUAGUGCCUGUUGACAACAGUACUGUAAUGGCUUUAACAAGCUCCAAGCUACUCUUUUACCCAAGAAGAAAGGAGCUCCAAGCUACUUGGCUUGCAGAAAUACCACAAUGCCGUGGCCGCGGCUAAGUUAAGCAAUAAAUUGAUAAGUAACAACCGGAAAUAUGAUGAGACGAGCCACAUUGUAACAUGUUACAAACACUAAUUCACAAUACAACGCAACUUUCAAGCAGUACAUGCAGCAGAUAUUUGAGGUACACACAUACUCAACAUAUCAAAGUGAGUUUAGCAUGAGAUUUACAAAAAUGGCACUCGUGGAUACAAUGACAGUAUACUGUAGUUCUAUUGGUUUUAUCAAUAUAUUACGCAAACAGCUUGCUGCUUCCACUAUCUAGAUGAUAGUUCCUUGUUAAACACUGAAAUCUAGCAUGUGAUAGGAGAGGCUGUUACUAAUGGAAGUAAAUCACUGAUCAUUCAUACAGAUUACACAUCGCAGAGAUUUCCCUUCAAUGAGUAAAUCAAAAGCUUUGUUGAGAAGAACCAUACUGUCAAUAAUAGCCGUCCUUACAAACACUAAAUCACAAUAUAUUGCAACUAACCAGGAGUACAUGUAACAGAGAUACGAGGUACACACAUAAGUGGAACUGGGGAAACAAGGACUUUUGAAUGCUGUAAUUCUAUUUGUUUUACAAACAUAUAUUACGAAAACUGCAUGCUGCUUACACUCUGUAGAUGGCAGUUCCUUAUUAAACACUGAAAUCUUACAUGUGAAGGAGAGGAUGUAACUAAUGAAAGUAACUCACAGAUAAUUUAUACAGAUUACACAUCGCAGACAUUUCCCUUCAAUGAGUAGAUCAAAAGCUUUGUUAAUGUCCUCAAAUGUUACUUCAUGUGUAACAAACUCAUCCAGUUGUAGU
rnacentral:lncRNA from 1 species